GGGCGUAUAGCUCAGCGGUAGAGCUCCUGCCUUACAAGCAGGCGGUCGGGGGUUCGAUCCCCUCUGCGCCCA
rnacentral:tRNA from 1 species